UGGAUUGUAAUUAAUUAAAACUUAAUCUAAAUAUGAUAAUUAAAUGUCUAUAUUUACUGAAUCAUAUAGUUAUCCCCAAAACAAUUAGAGAUAUAAGAGGAAAAAUUGGCACAUCAUAUCAAGUAAAAUAUCAAAUUUGCAUUAAAUAGCCAUUUUACAACUGUUUUAGGCUAAUGAGUAAUGACUUUAGCAUUACAUGACUCAUAAAUCAAGGGGU
rnacentral:lncRNA from 1 species